AAACGGUGCUUGGUGAUCCUGGAUGACCCUAGAUGAAUCAUCUCCAGCAGGAAAGUUCAGGAAGCCUAGCCACAGUUCUUUUGAAGAUGGAAUGUCACCCCACGUUGCUUUGUAAUAACUAAACAUAAUACUUUGUGUUCAGUGCGAUGGCAAGAUCUAGAUUCAGAGAGUGUUCCUUUUGUCUGCCCCGUCUUCUAUGGCCCAGUCACAACCAUCAUCAGCCAAGGCUUCCCAUCUCUUCCCUCAUCUCUCUCAUCAUGUCCACCCAGCUUCACAUUCUACUAA